AGAGUUUGAUCCUGGCUCAGGACGAACGCUGGCGGCGUGCUUAACACAUGCAAGUCGAGCGGAAAGGCCCUUCGGGGUGCUCGAGCGGCGAACGGGUGAGUAACACGUGAGCAACCUGCCCCUGGCUCUGGGAUAGCUCCGGGAAACCGGGAUUAAUACCGGAUAUGACUACUUGGUGCAUGCCUUGUGGUGGAAAGGGU
rnacentral:rRNA from 1 species